AACGCACAUUGCGCCCCCUGGUAUUCCGGGGGGCAUGCCUGUUCGAGCGUCAUUUCAACCUUCAAGCUCUGCUUGGUAUUGGGCCUGCGCUGGUCUCCCAGCGGGCCUCAAAAUCAGUGGCGGUGCCAUCUGGCUUCAAGCGUAGUAACACAUCUCGCUUCUGGAGACCCAGGUGGUUGCCUGCCAGCAACCCCAUCUUCUCAGGUUGACCUCGGAUCAGGUAGGGCUACCCGCUGAACUUAA
rnacentral:misc_RNA from 1 species